CAAGUCUGGUGCCAGCAGCCGCGGUAAUUCCAGCUCCAAUAGCGUAUAUUAAAGUUGUUGCAGUUAAAAAGCUCGUAGUUGGAUUUCUGUUAAUAAUUUAUAUAUAACAUUAUUAUUUUGAUGUUUAUAUAAUAUUAACAUAAUUCAUAUUACUAGAAUUUUAUUUAGUAUAUGAAAUUUUACUUUGAGAAAAUUAGAGUGCUUAAAGCAGGCAUUAGCCUUGAAUACUCCAGCAUGGAAUAAUAUUAAAGAUUUUUAUCUUUCUUAUUGGUUCUAAGAUAAGAAUAAUGAUUAAUAGGGACAGUUGGGGGCAUUUGUAUUUAACAGUCAGAGGUGAAAUUCUUAGAUUUGUUAAAGACAAACUAAUGCGAAAGCAUUUGCCAAGGAUGUUUUCAUUAAUCAAGAACGAAAGUUAGGGGAUCGAAGACGAUCAGAUACCGUCGUAGUCUUAACCAUAAACUAUGCCAACUAGA
rnacentral:rRNA from 1 species